CUUCUAUUAAAAACUACAAUUCGUCUUCUUAUUGAAUAAGCGAUGUCAAAAUUUGGACCACAUUUGUGCAUCAAAGGACAGUGACGCGUAUUCAUCUAUCGUACUAUUGAAAGGAGUUCUACCUACCUAGCAGGAGUGAAAAUCUUGUCUACAAAUUACGUAUUGUUGAUAUUUAAGUCGGUUGGGACUGAUGGAGCUUCUAAAAUAUUUUUCUCGUGAAUAGAGAAGGAAAACGCUUGCCGUAGAUAACUACUACGUAGUUCCGUAGACUAUGUACCUCCCGUGAUAAUCAAAAUACUCGUAGGGAUUUUGGAAUUUGUUCUGUUUCGAUUCGCGUCUACUUGAAAGUAAACUUCCUUUUCAAAUAUAAUAUAGUAAUGUAAGCUGAUAAUAUUAUAAGACUGCAGCGAUUACCGACGUGGGAAAAGCAAUCUAUAGUCGGUUAGAAGAUAUGGAUAUCCGUAGAAAAUUCGAAUUUAAUCAAUUAAUGUUUGUGUUAUUAUAUGUAAAAAUUUAAGUAUAUGUUAUACAUAUGUAUAUUAUAUAUAAUUAUAUAGUAUAUGAAUAUUUA